rnacentral:lncRNA from 1 species
UUUUUUAUCACAUCACUCUUUGUAUUUCAUAUUGAAUCAGUGAAUAAGUGUACACCAAUCUUUUGCAUAAAAUAAACGUAAAAGAUUACAAAUAGUACAAGGAGUAUCCAAAUAUCAACGAUAAAUAGAAAAACAAAAAUAUCAACCCAAACAUCUAUGGGUACACCAAAAAAGCCAAACAUCUACCAGAAAGCGAACAAGAACUGACUCCGCAAAAGAGUAACACCAUCAAAGAAACCCACAAACCAAGCAUGGCUCGAUCCAGCUCAGACAACUCCACCAGUGUCUAUCAACCCAUGCACAAGACAGAAUCCACCCCACACAUAGUUGGAGGUCUUACCCAAGAAGUAAGAACCAUUUCCUUGCAAAAAAAUUAGUCUAUUCCACUAAUUACUUAUAUGUCGUUAUGGGCGUACAUGAGCGCGAGUCGAUCCACCAACCUGAUCACCCAACUGAAUCCAAUUUUUACCCAUACCCGAUCGUUUUUCGGGUCUGAUCCGACUCAACCCGUUGAAACCCGCUUAUUUUUGGUUCAGGUAAUUGGAUCAACGAUUUGAACUCGUCGACCCGGCCCAAUAACUAGUUAUAAUUUGUUUUUAAAAUUUUGUUUGCCAGUCCAAUAAGAUAUCAUUCUUCUUCUUCUUCUUCUUCUUCUUCUUCUUCUUCUUCUUCUUCUUCUUCUUCUUCUUCUUCUUCUUCUUCUUCUUCU